UCCAAUAGCGUAUAUUAAAGUUGUUGUGGUUAAAAAGCUCGUAGUAGAAGCUCGGGCUCCGGCCGACUGGUCCGCCUCACCGCGUGCACUGGUUCGGCCGGGCCUUCACCUUCUGCGGAACCGCAUCUCCUUCACUGGGGGUGUCGGGGAAACAGGACGUUUACUGUGAAAAAAUUAGAGUGCUCCAGGCAGGCCUAUGCUCGAAUAGAUUAGCAUGGAAUAAUGGAAUAGGACGUGUGGUCUUAUUUCGUUGGUUUCUAGGACCGCCGUAAUGAUUAAUAGGGACAGUCGGGGGCAUCAGUAUUCAAUCGUCAGAGGUGAAAUUCUUGGAUCGAUUGAAGACUAACUACUGCGAAAGCAUUUGCCAAGGAUGUUUUCAUUUAUCAGGAACGAAAGUUAGGGGAUCGAAGACGAUCAGAUACCGUCGUAGUCUUAACCAUAAACUAUGCCGACUAGGGAUCGGACGGUGUUAUUUCUUGACCCGUUCGGCGCCUUACGGGAAAC
rnacentral:rRNA from 1 species